rnacentral:lncRNA from 1 species
GGAAGAGAUACCCCGUGGACAUGUUUCCCUUGGAAAGUGGAGGGAACCCUCUGAGCCGUGAUUCCGCCUGAAUUAAGCAGUGGCGGGCACUGGCCUGGCAGGCGGCUUCUACUGCCUUGGAUUUGCACCUCUAAGGGGUCACAGGGGCCACCCCCGAAACAAGACAAAGUGUGAUCAUGGACAGGCCCUCGGGGGGCCGGAAGAAGGAACGGCUCCAGUGAUGAAAGCUGAACGCCAGCUCUCUCCCCAUCGUUCUCCCGGACCAGGAGAGGGCUGCUCGGCAGGGCUAGGUUUAAAAACCUUCCAUGCAACUUACGAAGGCAUCCACAGUGACUUCUGCUGCUGUGGAAGAGUCUCUCCCUUUUGCAAACGCCAGCCACAGAGGUUUAUUUUUCUCCCUGAGAGAAGGAAGAGUGAAGGCUGAGACUGAGACAGAAGGACAGAAGGAGAAGACUUAGAAGCCAGUGAGCCCGGAACCACGAGACGCGCUCUGAGGACACGGGGCCUCGGGGAAACCGGGCACGGGCAGGGGUUGGUCUUGGCUUCCCCGCAACAUUGCCGCGAGCUCGGGUGCCGUCUCCACUCGCAGGCUGGCCUGUCCUCUGCAGCCACGAGCUCAGGCACCGUCUCCGUUCAUAGGCCAGCCUGUUCUCUGCAGCCUGAGGUCCCUGUGGUGCCAACAUCCAGAUGCUGAGAUAAUUCUGCCAGGGUGUUGGCUGAUCGGUGAUUGGUGGUUGGCUGUUCCGUGAGUUCUGCAUUGAUCUUGCUGGCUGAGCGUCCAAUGCGGAGGGGCAGGUGCUGUUAGGGUCUCCACUCCCAUCCCUCUCCCCAGGACUCAUCACCCACUGCAACCGUAAGCUGCUAGGGGCUCACAGCCGUGAGUCUUUGGGACGGGUGGUCCCACCUGGCAUGUAGCUCAGGCUCCUAGCCCCAGGACCCUGCCGCUGCUCCCCUCCCGCCCACAUCUUGGCUUAGCCGUCUUCCCUGGCUGCCAGCCCCUUCCCCUGGUCUUAGUUGGCUUGAGCCACUAAACUGAAAUAGCACACCCUGAGGCCUUCAACAGCAGACCUGAUUUCUCACCAUCUGGAGGCUGGAGGUCCAGGAUCCAGGCCCCCAAGGCUGCUUUCUCCCCCACUCCCCCACCCACCUUCCAGGACACGCAGACUCCACCCUCUUGCUGCCCUGUCUCAGGGCUGUCCCUCUGGGCAAGCAGGCCCCUGGCAUCCCCGUGUGUCUUCUCCUCCUGUUCUUAUAAGGACACCAGUCAUACUGGAUCUGGGCCCACCCUAGUGACCUCAUUUACCUUAAUCACCUCUGAAAGACCUUGUCUCAAAAACAGCCACAUUCUGGGGCACUGAGGGUUAGGGCUUUAACAUGGGAAUUUGAGGGAUGCAAUUCACCCCAUAAAACCCAGACCAUUCCCCCAGUAAAUCACUUUCACAAGAGCUCUUCUCUCAGGCUUUGCUUCUGGGGGAUCCCCCUUGAGAUGGAUCCAUCUAGCUUCCUGCUUCUCAAAGAACAGAGGGGAGAGCUCUGGUGCGAAGGGAACGGGUGGCCUCGGGGACCUGCGGAUAAGCUGCUGGCACUGCCAGGGGACAGGCUGAGCUGAAAGCCAGGAGGAGGGCGGCGAGGCCCGGGGCCGGACCUCAUUCUUCUGAGUGUUAUAAAAUCUGGCUUUGCUCAGAAACUGCCCCAUGUGUGCUUUUGUUAAUUGAAGUGCAAAAUUUUCUCCAAGUAAUAACUGGAGUCGUUUAACAAUACAAAUAAUUUGCACCUUAAUUUGGUCGAUGGCACAAUUGCUAAUUCCUAGAGACUCAGAGGAGCAAAGUGAUCACGAAUUCCAAGAGUGGAAACAAAUCCAUUCCGCAAAUUUCACCCUGGCUUCUUCCUCGCCGGCCUGGGAGCUGCCCCGAGGGUCCUGGAACCUUCAGCUGCUUCCGGGCUCAGCCGGUGUCGUGGGGAGCCAGGUCCUGUGGUGGCUCCCAGCCCCAAAGCUGAC